rnacentral:rRNA from 1 species
UACGUAGGGUGCAAGCGUUAAUCGGAAUUACUGGGCGUAAAGCGUGCGCAGGCGGUUUUGUAAGUCUGUCGUGAAAUCCCGGGCUCAACCUGGGAAUUGCGAUGGAGACUGCAAGGCUUGAAUCUGGCAGAGGGGGGUAGAAUUCCACGUGUAGCAGUGAAAUGCGUAGAGAUGUGGAGGAACACCGAUGGCGAAGGCAGCCCCCUGGGUCAAGAUUGACGCUCAUGCACGAAAGCGUGGGGAGCAAACAGG